rnacentral:lncRNA from 1 species
CUCUGUCAUAAUCUGGAAUGAUGAUAUCAAUCAAGUGAAGCAGCUAUCACAGGGUCUGGAACAUAGUACAUCCCAGCCUUCUUGCACAUAGAAACACUACACAGCACUUCAGCUGUAUGUUUGGGGGCCAUUUUAAACAGCAAAAUCAUCAACAGGAAGCAGAAAAUUGUAAAAAUUGUGGCACUAAAUAGACCAUGUAAAGGACACAUGUUUGCAAUAAGAAAGCUGAAACAAGAAGGGGGAGUGUCACCUUAUUUGAUCCAGCUAGAAACUCAGGUGCUGGUAUUCCAGCAACACUCAGGCGGCUGCUCCAGGAGGCUGCAGAGGGGUCCUUUUUAGCCGUCAACAAAACUGGCUAUGGUCACGCCCAUUGGGAAACUCAUUGCUGCCUUCAAGUUAGGUUCUGUCAAUAGAAGAUACUAAAGAAAGAAAGCCAGGAGAAGAAAAGGGACUUCUUUCUUCAAGGUCUAAGCUGUUCUAAUAGCAUUAUUCUGGGAAUGGCAUCUUCCACUCCUCCUAGUACAAAGAACCUGCUUCCUCAUACCCCGUCAAGGAACUGCAGCAUCCAGGUGAUGGCCACAGUGGCAGAACCUAGGAAGCCAAGAAGAAACCAGAGAAUGGAGACACAUGGCAGCAAUGGCAAGUCAUCAGACCCAGGAUUUCCCAAAGAACACUGGUCCAGGAAGAUGCUCUGUGAAAAAGUGUUCCCUGGUCGGAGAAAUUUGUGAAACACUUUGCAUAAUACUUAAAAGAAUGUAUGGCACAUCAAAGAUCUUAUAACAGUCUCCGCAGGAAGCAGCUGCAGUCAUUAGCCAUAGGACAGACUAAACACACAAUCUGCAUGGAAGGAGGCCUGGAUCAGCUUGGUCUUUCAGAUCUCUAAUCUCAGGCACAGGAAAGCACCAUCAACAGCACCCUUUGUAUAUAUACAUAAAGGUAACAUAUUUUAUCAUUUAAAGGGAUUUGAGAAAUUGAAGAGGCCCAACUCUUUUUCUGCCUUCUUUGGUUUGAGGCUUAGAUUGCUUAAGGGGCUUGCCCAGGAUCACAUAUCUUGUAAGAGACAGAGCAAGGAUUCAAAGCCAGUGCUGGCUUCUGUGUCUCCAUUCUUUCCAUUCUCCUCCAGUGGCUCUUUUGGGAAGCUGAGGGAGGAACAGCAGCAGAAUUGGGUGGCACCUGCCCAUGCCCAUCAUGC